GGCAGCAUUUAUGCAUUGAGAGACACUCUGCAUAGCUACGGCUGGGGGGAGGGAGCAAGACCCGCCCUUCUCUCUAGUCAUGGGCGGCAGUUGCUAAUGGGAGCAAGUUAAACUGGGUCCUGACCAGUCGGCCUUGGACCAUGGGCUCCUCUUUGAGUCCUCCUCUGCCAGCCAUCGGCGCCCCCUUUAAUAUCUCAUAGCUAGCAGGGGCGCCUAGGAUGACAGGAUUUGGGGGGCAGUAAUUCCCUUUCCCAGCGAACCCUUUGCUCCUGCAUACGACUCUUUUCAGAUCCCGAUCCUGCCUGCUCCAGUGUGCCGGCUAAUGCGCUGGUCUCCAGGGGGCGCCCAACCAUAAGCAUUUGACUGAUUUGAUUUGCUUUGUCCUACAGGUUCCAAUUGCUCCAUGCCUGGAACUGCAGUCCUACUCCCCUGUGGGGGGGGACCUGGUGAUGCUGGUUGCAAUCCGGGGAGGCACACCUCCAUGAUUACUCGGGCUGGCUAGCCCUGUAGUUCCCAGCCAAUUUCCAUAAUUCCUUUCAGAGCUGCAGCACGCUUUUGUGAGCUGUGCGUACUUGCAGGUGCCACUCCACAAAGUCUCCCUUGCACAGGAGUUCCAAUCAGAUGGACACCUGUCAUAGAACUCCAUGUCCUUACCUGAUCUGACGUAGUCUUGUCCACUCCCUGACUGCAUCGUUAUCGCCAUCUUGGGCACCUUCCCUGAGGCCCUUGAUCCUCCAUAUGUGGGAUGUCGGCACCGACCAUACAUGUGACGGUUCCUUGGUCACCUAGCCCUUCCUCAGCAUAUCACUGACCUGGGAUGGUCCUUACUCCCUUUCGUAAUGGGGAGGUUUACAUUCGGUACCCGGGGAAGGGUUACAUUCUGUACCCGCAGGCCCUCUUGGAACUGAGCUUAAUCCUUCCACUAUGCAGGGCGGCUGAGGCGGUAUGUAAGCCUACGCUAACAACAGCCACCUCGGUGGUCAUUUCAGCUCGUUCCCCCCUUGGAGGGAGGCGCGAAGGUCUGUGAUUUCCCAGAGGACAGAGCAGAGGCUCUUCCAGGGCUCGCCGUAGGGGCUGGGGGUUGGCAGCACUUGCAAGUCUGGUGCCUGUAGCCGCUCACCCACGAUCACUAAGUUACGAGAGUGUUCAGGAUGGCACCAACCUCCCUUCUACCAGGGUCGUUACACCUAGGCCCCAACCACGGUCGGGAGCAAUAUUCUAACUCUGUACAAUGGUUUCCAGGCCUAUACCGCUUAGGUUAUACCUGUUGCUGAGCUUCAGCGAGGCCGCUUACACUGGGCCAUGCCUGCCGGCCCUUUUGCGUGCUUCUGCAGCAAUGACCAUUCUUCUGACCUGGCGCGACAUGGGCUGCCGUUGAUAAGUCAGGUUUGCAGCGGCGGGUCUUCCCACCUGCCUUAGUCGACGGGGCGGGACCCUCUCUCCACCGUGUGCUACCUCCACCACGUGAGGGCCAUACGCCUUCAACUCCUGGCUCCCUACCGUUCCUCAAGUGGUUGUUUAUGACGUGCAGCUCCAGACGACAUACGCUCUCGUACUUCCCACUUUUCACGGACAGUUCCGUACUGAUCAGGCCUGGGGUCGGAUUAACUCAGGACCCUGUUCUCUGGACAGUAUCUACGUGUCGGACACUUGGCGCCUCUGGACCCUGGUAUUGGUAGUCCAUUGGCCCUGCUUAUCCCUGGUGGCCUGUCUCCUCGCCCUUAAAAUCCACCUUAUGGUUCCCUUCUGGGCCCUUGGGGCUCAAUGUUCCGGGGCAGGGGAUUGGAAGGACCUCUGGGUCCUUUGGGGCUGCCGGCAUCAUUCCAUGUUGGUUUUAACGUUUGAUAUUGAUUUUAAUCGAUACGUUUUAAAUUAUGGGCCAAAUUUCAUUUCAUUAGUUUUAAUAAUUAUUUGAACUUUUGUGUGCAAAUGUUCUUAUUUUGGCUGUUCACCGCCCUGAGUCCGAAAGGAGAAGGGCGGUAUACAAAUUUUAAUAAAUAAAUAAAUAAA